rnacentral:rRNA from 1 species
UGCGUAGGCGGUUAGUUAAGUCUGUUGUGAAAUCCCCGGGCUCAACCUGGGAAUGGCAAUGGAAACUGGCUAGCUAGAGUGUGUCAGAGGAUGGUGGAAUUUCCGGUGUAGCGGUGAAAUGCGUAGAGAUCGGAAGGAACAUCAGUGGCGAAGGCGGCCAUCUGGGACAACACUGACGCUGAAGCACGAAAGCGUGGGGAGCAAACA